GACGAACCGUGCGAACGUUAUUCGGAAUCACUGGGCUUAAAGCGCGUGUAGGCGGGCCGGCACGUCCGGUGCUGAAAGCCCCCCGGCUCAACCGGGGGAAGUGGCACGGAUACGACCGGCCUGGAGGGGGGGUAGGGGGGACCUGGAACUCCCGGUGGAGCGGUGAAAUGCGUUGAGAUCGGGAGGAACGCCCGUGGCGAAAGCGAGGUCCUGGGCCCUUACUGACGCUGAGACGCGAAAGCCAGGGGAGGCGAACGGGG
rnacentral:rRNA from 1 species